UCUAUAUUGACCUGGUAUAUUGGUGGAAUUAUCGGGAGUCUGGCUCUUCUCCUCGUCAUUAUACUGGCAGUGGUGUGGUGUCAAAGAAGGCGCAAGCCUACAGAAAUCACUGUGACCCCAGUACCUGAGAUGAGCCGUGUUGCUGAAUAUAUGUCUGUGAGUAGGAACACAAAGCAAGAAGAUACAGAGGAAGGUAUUCACUAUGGAUCCAUCUCCUUCCAGCCUAAAGCAACUGGUGG